rnacentral:tRNA from 1 species
UCCCUGGUGGCUCAGAUGAUAAAGCAUCUGUCUGCAACGCAGGGGACCCGGGUUCAAUUCCUGGGUUGAGAA